GGAAGUGUGCCUGAAACACAAGGACUACUUUGAUAAAGCAGAUACGGGACCAACACCAAACCCCGCUUCC
rnacentral:tRNA from 1 species